rnacentral:rRNA from 1 species
GACGAACGCUGGCGGCGUGCUUAACACAUGCAAGUCGAACGGAAAGGCCCUGCUUUUGUGGGGUGCUCGAGUGGCGAAAGGGUGAGUAACACGUGAGUAACCUGCCCUUGACUUUGGGAUAACUUCAGGAAACUGGGGCUAAUACCGGAUAGGAGCUCCUGCUGCAUGGUGGGGGUUGGAAAGUUUCGGCGGUUGGGGAUGGACUCGCGGCUUAUCAGCUUGUUGGUGGGGUAGUGGCUUACCAAGGCUUUGACGGGUAGCCGGCCUGAGAGGGUGACCGGCCACAUUGGGACUGAGAUACGGCCCAGACUCCUACGGGGGGCAGCAGUGGGGAACAUUGCACAGUGGGCGGAAGCCGGAUGCAGCAACGCCGCGUGCGGGAUGACGGCCUUCGGGUUGUAAACCGCUUUCGCCUGUGACGAAGCGUUAGUGACGGUAAUGGGGAAAGAAGCACCGGCUAACUACGU